AUCGUACCUAAGAGGUUAAAAGCUUGCCGGUGUCCCGUCGAAUUCGGAAUUCGAAUUCGAAUUCCUCGGAGCCUCGGUGGCUCACGGACCGGGGAUCUUGUAUUUGCGCGCGGAGAAGCCUCUGGUUCCGUACUGUACAUAUACAUAGCUCGACCGGUUUCCCUUUUAAGCACUGUCUCCCGUGCUGGAAAAGCCAUAACCGCGACGAAGGAUUUUCCAGUCGUUCAACUUUUCUGUCGUUUAAACGUGAAGAAAUGCGCACUGGAACAACGUUUAAGAAAUUAGUCGAAUUUAUUAUUGAAGAUAGUGGAUUCAGCGAAUGGAUUAUAUUUUAAGAAAUGCCGUUGUCCGUUCGUCGUUCAUGCGAUUUAACGCGCUUACAACCUUUUUUCCCUGGGGCUGCGUUAAAUUUUUGGUUUAUCCCAACAAAUAUUUGAUUUAUUCCACAUUUAUUGGGCGACUAUUUGGGCGACUCGAGAAGCAACAUCGAAGCCACCAUUUGAGAUACUCGAGCUGAUUUUAGCGAGAAAGUCGUGUAAAACGUAGCCAUUCGAACGACAUUGCGUUCCAUCUUAAAUGCCAUUGAAUAUACUUGAAUACACCAGAAGCAAUAGCAACGAAUUAACUUGGAAAGAAGAAACGAGAUCGCUUGACUUGAAAUGCUAGGACAUAAAUAUGAAAGUCUCGGUAACUUUAAGUUGGACAUAGAUUGAAUAAAUACGCGACGCGUAAUUAAUAUUUUAAUUCAUUUUCUUGGAAGGUACAGUGGACAAAGAAAACGAUGCUUGGAAAAAAGUAUUUGGCGAAUCGAGAUCCUCGAAGAAAGUAUUUGGCCAAUCAAGUUUGCAUGGAAACGAGCAAUAAUUUGCUUUAUAUUCGCAGCAACCAAUAUCGUAGGACGUUUUUACGCGUAUACGCGACUGUUUUAACGAGCGUUGGUGCUGAUUUUAUGAAAUGUUCCAUUUUAAUAACGAAAUUGACUGCUUCGACAUUCUUAUUCUCAUCUUCUGCUUUUAUUGUAGUUUAUUCAUUUCUCUACAAUAUUCGCAAAGGACGAGGGAAAUUGACCAAUUUUAACCUCGACUAUGGAAAUGAAAGAUUUGUCCGGGAUAUGUUACCGCAUGUCCCGAAGAGUCCAAAAUGCGUAAUUAUUUACACCGGGGAUGAAGAAGAAGUUGUCAAAAAAUAAGCGUAAACAUCAGAGUUUCGUCAUUCGCAAGCCACCGAUUAAUACUUUUUCGAUACUUUUUUCCAGAAUCUCGUUGGCCAAACGCUCUUUUCUUUGUUUACUAUAUCUUUCAAGAAAAUAAAGUAAAAUGUUAAUUAUGUAUAUUUAUUCAAUAUACAGGGUGACCACGCAACUUGUCCACCUCUUAUAACUUCCAAAAUAUGCGUCGCACGAAAAAAUUUUAUACACAAAAGAUGCAUGGUUUGAAGGGGCACGUUAUGUA